CUCGAUGUUGCGCCGCACCUUUUGGAGACUUGGAUCUGCAGGUUGCAAUUUCUUGAUCCUCUCCAAUAAGGUCGGUUGAAUAACGAGCGCCAUCAGCUGAGCUGGGACCUCGGGAGCGACCACUUCGAGGUCCAGCCGCUCUAUUUCCAGCCCUAGGGGUGUUUGCCGGGUAACAUCAAAAGCGAGGUUCUUCGCCGACUU
rnacentral:lncRNA from 1 species